GAUGCGGAUGGAGAAUCCCAAAGCAGGUAGGAAAGGCAAUCUAAAUGUUGCAACUGAGGUAAGUGAAAAGAUCGCAGUGACAAAACAGUUUAAAACAUUGAAGAACAAUCACAAAUUCAGACUUUAUUUUUGUAUGGCAACCUUUAGGUUUUUCAAAUAGCCCCGUCCCUUCACGUGGUUGAGCUCAAGAUAGCAAAGGGGGAUACUCUGGAGUUUCAAAAGGUACUAUUCUCGAGCAAUUCUCUCUGCGGUUCUCUUUAAGUUGGGGCACUGAAUCAGUACCGAGAUUAACCGUGCUGUACAACAGUUCUACAGAAGUCUCUCGACGCAACUGAAGGAUGUUGUGUGGAAGUGCGAUGGCGAGGUCGAGGGCAACAGCACGUUGGCAUGAAGCGGCCUCCAAACUUACACAUGCCGGCGCUGGCUUUCCUUGUACAUAGCUUCUCUUCCGGAUGAUCAGUGUCCAUUGCAGAGUCGGUUUUGCAAGCAAGUUCUUUGGUUCAUUUGUCGAUGGCGAGUAAGCUCCGAUGAAACAACCGUCUUCAAGGCUGUUGCGGAUGAGCUCACUGGCGCGUUGUUUAGUCCAUUUUAUGGUCUGGAAGUUAGAUGGGAUGGGAGCCACAAUCAAGGCUGUAGUAGUGUUGUAGUAAUGAGGU
rnacentral:lncRNA from 1 species